rnacentral:rRNA from 1 species
AUUGGACGCUGGCGGAAUGCUUUACACAUGCCAGUCGAACGGCAGCACGGGGGCAACCCUGGUGGCGAGUGGCGAACGGGUGAGUAAUACAUCGGAACGUGCCCGGUCGUGGGGGAUAACGUAGCGAAAGUUACGCUAAUACCGCAUACGAUCUGAGGAUGAAAGCGGGGGACCUUCGGGCCUCGCGCGAUCGGAGCGGCCGAUGUCAGAUUAGGUAGUUGGUGGGGUAAAGGCCUACCAAGCCGACGAUCUGUAGCUGGUCUGAGAGGACGACCAGCCACACUGGGACUGAGACACGGCCCAGACUCCUACGGGAGGCAGCAGUGGGGAAUUUUGGACAAUGGGCGCAAGCCUGAUCCAGCCAUUCCGCGUGCAGGACGAAGGCCUUCGGGUUGUAAACUGCUUUUGUAUGGAACGAAAAGGCUCUGGCUAAUACCUGGGGCUCAUGACGGUACCGUAAGAAUAAGCACCGGCUAACUACGCG